GGACUUUGAACAGGAUGAUGAUGCAAUGCUACAUUUAGCUGUGCAAGCUUCUUUGGAUGAUUUUUGAUAAAUGGCACUUAUCUUCUCACAAGUCCAUUUUGAUUACAGAGAAGAAUGUUGAGGGUGUGUAAGCACUGAAGAUGUAAGAGAACUAUGGCAAGGUGUAAGAGAAAUUAAUUAGCUUUUUUUUUUUGGUUUUUAUUUGUGAUGUUUCUGUUUUUUUUUAUUUCUGGAAAAGUAAGAGUCAGACAAGUGUCUUUAUCAGUGACCAAGAUAGAUUAGUUAACAAUGAAAAUCAUCAUCUUGUUUGUUAUGUAGAGGAAGAAAAAAGUUAAAUCUAAAUGCAUUUAUUCACUUUGAAAAUAAUAAGAUCAAAUGUUGCUUUAGAAACUGUGUGUUCAUAACAGUGAGACAUUACAGUACCAUGUAACAAUAAAGAUAGGAACACAUU
rnacentral:sRNA from 1 species